UACGGAGGGUGCAAGCGUUAUCCGGAUUUACUGGGUUUAAAGGGUGCGUAGGUGGGUAGGUAAGUCAGUGGUGAAAUCCCCGAGCUUAACUUGGGAACUGCCGUUGAUACUAUCUAUCUUGAAUAUCGUGGAGGUAAGCGGAAUAUGUCAUGUAGCGGUGAAAUGCUUAGAUAUGACAUAGAACACCCAUUGCGAAGGCAGCUUACUACACGAUCAUUGACACUGAGGCACGAAAGCGUGGGGAGCAAACAGG
rnacentral:rRNA from 1 species